AGAAAUUCCAAACGAACUUGGAGAUAGCUGGUUCUCUCCGAAAUAGCUUUAGGGCUAGCCUCGGAAUUGAGAAUGAUGGAGGUAGAGCACUG
rnacentral:rRNA from 1 species